rnacentral:tRNA from 1 species
GGCCCACUAGCUCAACUGGCAGAGCAGCUGACUCUUAAUCAGUAGGUUCCAAGUUCGAGUCUUGGGUGGGUCA